UGGGGAAUAUUGGUCAAUGGAGGAAACCCUGAACCAGCCAAGUCGCGUGAAGGAUGACGGCCCUAUGGUUUGUAAACUCCUUUAGUAGGCGAGAAAGGAUAGGUACGUGUACCUAUUAGAAAGUAGCCUAAGAAUAAGUAUCGGCUAACUCCGUGCCAGCAGCCGCGGUAAUACGGAGGAUACGAGCGUUAUCCGGAUUUAUUGGGUGUAAAGGGUGCGUAGGUGGCUGAUUAAGUCAGUGGUGAAAAGCUAUGGCUCAACCAUAGUCUUGCCGUUGAUACUGGUUAGCUAGAGUGUGGAUGAUGUAGGCGGAACGUGUAGUGUAGCGGUGAAAUGCGUAGAGAUUACGCAGAACACCGAUUGCGAAGGCAGCUUACAAAACUACUACUGACGCUGAGGCACGAAAGCGUGGGUAUCAAACAGG
rnacentral:rRNA from 1 species